AUGCAGGGGAGGGGCCUGUAUUUUAGCCAAUCAGAAACCCUGUCAGUCAGUUUGCAUGUUCAGAUUUGCAGACCUUGGGCUGGUGGGCAGGAGUACAUCUUAGUGGGCGGAGUGUGGCAUAAAAGGCGUGUGUGUGUGUCUGUGUGUGUGAGUGUGUGUCUUAGUGGGUGGAGUCAGAGGGCGUGUGCGAUUGUAGUAAGAAAAUCUCCUGAAAUCACUUACAGCACUUUUAACAAUCAGACACUGUGUUCAGAGUUUAGAACCUCUUAAAAGGCCAAACAAACGCUUUAAAUUUGUGUUAUCAUAUCGACCGUUCACACAGGACGUGUUUCUGCAUUUAAACACCUGCACUGAGAUCAACAAAACAGAGAAAGUAGUUUACCUUGACAUGACAGACCGCAGCCAAACACACGCAUGUGACAAACAGUAACACACCCGUCCUGUGUGAACGAGCCACAUGUGACUGAACCUGCUGUGCCUUUCAUUACAAACCCUUGUUUUCUUCAUGCAGCGCGUUUUAUUUUAGUGAACAGCUGAUUCAUUCAUAACCUUAAAAUGCUAAAGUUGUUGAUUGAUGUUGUGGAAUAUGUAAUCUAACAUCCGCAGUCAUUUCAGCCAGACACACUUUUGUAAAUGUGAUCUUUGUUCCUCAAACACUGAACGCAGACGACUGCCUGAAUGAUUUUAGAAGAGAAUUGUUCUGAAAUGAAGAUAAUCUGUAAGUAUUAUUAGACAGCAGUAUUGCAAUGAGCGUGCACUUCUUUUACUCUGUUACUGAACUAAUAUUUCAGGAUGUUUUCUGAAAUAUGAACAAGUAUUUUCAACGCUUCAUUCUGUAUAUUUUCGUUGUUUAUUGGACAUGAUCACACGCUUGUUUUGACACGUUACUGUUUAAUGUGUUUGCACUGGCUUUCCUUAAACUAGAUGCUUCGGUGCAAACUCAUAAUAUAAUAACCUCUUAUCAUAACUCAAGGUAUGUAUUAUCAUAUUGCACUAAAAUAUACAAUAUUAAAUUGAAUUCUAAAAGCUGCCACAUUUAACGCACUGUUUGUGUUUUUUGAGAUGGUCAAAAUUGUUUUGAUCUUUAAACCAUUUUUUUUUGUUUAUGAUUUCUUUAUGUUGUUAUAUUGAUGUGCUAAACAUGAAUUGAAUUCAAGUUUGCACUUGAUGAGAUUGAUUUGCUUGGAUUUCAAUGGAGAAAAUCAAUGUUUGAGUUCAAAUGAUAGUGUUUGAGACUGAAUGUAACGUGGUUUAAAUGCCUUUUGGGUCUUUUCAGCAUUUCAGGUGUUAAAUAUGCAGAAUAUUGCCUUCAUCAGUGUAUAAACUAUAAAACUCAGUGGCCUUCGAUCUGUUUAAUGUCUUCUGCAUCUGUCCAGCUCUUAGAUUUCAGAUUCAGACUGACACAAAUAUUGUACUAGUUUAAUUUAAUUUAAUUUAAUUUAAUUUAAUUUAAUUUAAUUUAAUUUAAUUUAAUUUAAUUUAAUUUAAUUUAAUUUAAUUUUUGCUUUGUUGUGUGCGUGUCGCUGCUCCUCUGCAGCGCUAGGUGGCGCCAGCAACAAUAGGGUUUUUUUUUUAACAUAAAGCCCACAAACAAUAAGACAGCCACUAUAUAAGACACUAUGUUUUGUUUCUGUAGCGCUGUCAUGCAAAAGAUGUCUACAAAUAUUUUAACCAAACUUAAGUACUUCAGUAUUUUGUAUACAUGUCCUUCUGUGUCACUUUUUCUAAUGUUAAGAUUGCAAAACCUGUCUUUAUAUUUUUCAUAAGUGUUUCCAUUUUCUUGUUUUAGUACUAUUCUGGAGAAAAUUAGCCUGCUCUGGAAAGUACUUAAAAAAAAUGCAAAGUUAGCAAGUUAAUAGACACACUAUGUUUUGUUUCUGUAGCGCUGUCAUUGUCAAAAAGAUGUCUACAAAUAUUUUUAACCAAACUUUAAGUACUUCAGUAUUUUGUAUACAUGUCCUUCUGUGUCACUUUUUCUAAUGUUAAGAUUGCAAACCUGUCUUUAUAUUUUUCAUAAGUGUUUCCAUUUUCUUGUUUUAGUACUAUUCUGGAGAAAAUUAGCCUGCUCUGGAAAGCUUAAAAAAAUGCAAAGUUAGCAAGUUAAUAGACACAUUUUUGCUGAAAUUCAUUGUGCUGUUGUUGUUAGCAGGCAUGGUUUAUUUGCUAAGUGUCCUGGGACCGGUGAGGGAGUGAGUGUCCUGGGACAGGUGAGGGAGUGAGUGUCCUGGGACAGGUGAGGGAGUGAGUGUCCUGGGACGGUGAGGGAGUGAGUGUCCUGGGACGGUGAGGGAGUGAGUGUCCUGGGACAGGUGAGGGAGUGAGUGUCCUGGGACAGGUGAGGGAGUGAGUGUCCUGGGACAGGUGAGGGAGUGAGUGUCCUGGGACAGGUGAGGGAGUGAGUGUCCUGGGACAGGUGAGUGGGAGAGGUGAGGGAGGUGAGUGUCCUGGGAGAGGUGAGGGAGUGAGUGUCCUGGGACUGGUGAGGGAGUGAGAGUCCUUGGACGGUGUGGGAGUGAGUGUCCUGGGACCGGUGAGGGAGUGAGUGGAAGCUGGUGGAGAGAGAGAGACAGAGGAGAGAAAAGCGCAAGUUUUCUCUUCUUGAGAGAAUGCUUAACAAAUACAUUAUUUAUUAGCCAUUCUUCAUUAGCCAAGAGAAAAUAGUGGGGGAAAAAAUGGGUACAUUACAGUUUUUAAAUAUCUUUUUUAAUUGUCAUAUUAUCAAUGAAACUAAUUUCUGUAGAUUUUUUUGUGAUUUAAGCUAAAAAUGAAAUGUAUGUUGUAAAAAAAGUUGUUUACAUUAUUCAUUUUUUGUGUAAUUUAUUUGUAAAUGAGCCUGAGUAUAUGAAUAUGUUUUGCAUAUUCACAUGUGUAAAUAAAAGGGAAGUAAUUAUGUAGAUUGUUAAUUUUUUUAAAGCAGCUUAUUUUUUUCACAAAACAUUCUUUUAUAUGUUUAUUAUCUUGUCCUGUA
rnacentral:lncRNA from 1 species